GGGCCAAGGUGGGGCUCAGCCGAGCCAACAGCCCCAGUGCCAGAGGGGACACGCUUUUCCUGUGCUGGAGGAUGGGGACAUAUAGGGUGCUGAUGGAGGGAG